rnacentral:lncRNA from 1 species
CGGAUCUAGCAUUUUUCCUAGAAAACGUUAUUAAUAACAUUAUGUAUUUUCAUAAUGCUUGGAAAUUACGCUCGUAUCUAGUCUUUGGCGCUCCACUGUACAUGCUCCUAUUACUCAUGAUGACGCGCACUUGAAGAGUCUGAUACGUAUUAAAAGCAAUUUGCCAUAUGCUAUGGUCAUAAUAAUGCUAAUAUGCAUACCCACACCAUCGCCACACCACACAGGGUACAUCGGUUUCGGCAUGUGUAACAAUAUGUUUUGUACAUAUUUACACGCACCCCAACAUAUGAAUGUGUGUAUGCAUGACCUAAUGUGUGUUCUCUUUGAUUGUUAGCCCAGUAGGUGGGGGAGAGAGCAACAAAAGAGCAUGAGCAUGUGCAUGUCGUCGGUGACUUUUGUAGAUUUGUUUGUGUACAUAUAGAUAUAGCGAAAUAACCCGGCGCACAGCACUGAUUAGCAGGCGUCAGCACAGAGCCAAAGCAAAAAGUUCAUGCUAGCAAGUGAGCCAGACAACCAGGCAGCGGUAGAAGCAGAGUCGGUGGCAGUGGCAGAGGCAAAGCAGAGCCAGCAAACAAGUACACACAACAAUAAGGAAACAUACACACACGACACACAAAAACGAUACAAAACCCACACACGCACACACACACUCGCACUCUCGCUCACAGAAAACUACUAAAAGAGUCAGGCAGCAGCCAGCCGAGGCGGGGCACGAAGCAGUGUUCCAAUCGAAAGGGGGAUAAGUGGGGUGGCGGGGACAGAUAAACAACAUUUUAUAUUCAUGUACCAACAACAGCGCCAAUAGCACAGACAGAGACACCGACAGAGAUGGAGACGGACAUAAAAAGCGAAACGAAAAUCAAAUAACACGUGUAGCUACAUAUCGACAAACAAGCGACAUACAAGUGUAUGUAUUUACAUACAAGUACAUAUGUUUGUAUGUAUGUAUGUAUGUUCAUGCAGCUCCCCCUCCGGACUUCCCGUUCGUUCAGAACGAAACACUUGCAGCAACUCAUUCAAACUCAUUUCUACACACUCACAAAGCAUACUCGUAUGUACAUACAUAUGUAAACAUGUAUUUACAUCACAACUAUCUUGGUCGGCGGGGAAUGAAUGUCAGUGCAUAUGGCCUACGUUGUUGAACGCAUAAAUAGCAAUUUCUCGUACAAUAGCAACCGGUAUUUAAAACUGUUUAAUACACACAUUAGCCAACGGGGUGAGAGAGCUGAGCGCACGGAAAUUCCGUUGUGCAGGUUACAAAAUAUUAUAAAGAGUUAUGCUGAUUUGACCAAUCACAAAAACACACUUGACACAUUUGACUUGUGGACAUCAGAAUGCUGGUGUAGUCACAGGAGAGAACAACGGAAAAAUACACAAGCGGAUUGUCCCCCUUUUUCGAUUCUGACGUCGGCACAGGGUCAGUGAAACUGAUCAAUCGGCUUAAUCGGCUCUUUGGACCCGACUAUUGCAUCUGUGCAGCACUCGUAAGUGUCAUCAUUACUGUCACUGUCAUCGGUGACGGCUUCCAUAGUCCAUGUUACUUAUCAGCUUUUGGCCACGCACCGAUUGUGGAUCCCUUCGCUUUCGCUCUUCACACGUCUGACGAUGCUUGUUUUCGAUGAUGCUGCAAUUUUCUCUGCAGUCACCGCUGAUCAGUGGAAAAUUCUGGAACCAUUUUCAGAUUAAAUCAAAUUGCAUUCGUUGCGAUUGUGUGUGGAACUGCAACGUCACGAUAACAAUACCCCAAAUUUUCCCAACAGAUCACGGCUUGUUUCUUCGCCAGCAAAAUUUUUCACUAUCAUGUGGGAUAUGGGUUAGAU